AGAGUUUGAUCAUGGCUCAGGACGAACGCUGGCGGCGUGCCUAAUACAUGCAAGUCGAGCGGAGUUAAACCUUCGGGUUUAAUUUAGCGGCGGACGGGUGAGUAACACGUAGGUAACCUGCCUAACAGACUGGGAUAACUACCGGAAACGGUAGCUAAGACCGGAUACGACCACUUGGGGGCAUCCCUGAAUGGUGAAAAGCGGAGUAAUCUGCUACUGAUAGAUGGACCUGCGGCGCAUUAGCUAGUUGGUGAGGUAGUGGCUCACCAAGGCGACGAUGCGUAGCCGACCUGAGAGGGUGAACGGCCACACUGGGACUGAGACACGGCCCAGACUCCUACGGGAGGCAGCAGUAGGGAAUCUUCGGCAAUGGACGAAAGUCUGACCGAGCAACGCCGCGUGAGUGAUGAAGGUUUUCGGAUCGUAAAACUCUGUUGCCAGGGAAGAAUGGCCAGAAGAGUAACUGCUUUUGGUUUGACGGUACCUGAGAAGAAAGCCCCGGCUAACUACGUGCCAGCAGCCGCGGUA
rnacentral:rRNA from 1 species